rnacentral:rRNA from 1 species
CAGCAGCCGCGGGAACACGUAGGUGGCAAGCGUUGUCCGGAAUUAUUGGGCGUAAAGGGCUCGCAGGCGGUUUCUUAGGUCUGAUGUGAAAGCCCCCGGCUCAACCGGGGAGGGUCAUUGGAAACUGGGAAACUUGAGUGCAGGAGAGGAGAGUGGAAUUCCACGUGUAGCGGUGAAAUGCGUAGAGAUGUGGAGGAACACCAGUGGCGAAGGCGACUCUCUGGUCUGUAACUGACGCUGAGGAGCGAAAGCGUGGGGAGCGAACAGGAUUAGAUACCCCGGUAGUCCCUGUCUCUUAUAC